CAACCCUGAUACUAGACCUCCAGACUUUCCUAUAAAUGGCCAUGUUCUCAGAAACCCGCAUUCUAGCCAUGUCAUGCCUAAUCACCUCUCCCCAAUACCUCUUAAGCCUCCCUCUGCCUCGCCGUGCGCCGACCAUCGCCAGCCGCUCACAACUCCUCACCGGGGCAUCAGGACUUCUCCUCCGUACAUGCCCGAACCACCUCAG
rnacentral:lncRNA from 1 species